UCUUAAGCUCUUGGAGUUGGAUGUAUGUACCUGUGUCUGUGUGGAGUUCAGUUUAAACAUGUUUGUGUAUAUAUAUGCAACAUGCUUGUUACAAUUUUAGUUGCUUUAAUUUUGUAGAACUUCUACUUGUGAAUAACACAUGUAUUUUUAUUCUGUACUGAGAACUGUAUAGUGUUGAGGAUGAGAGAUGGUGCAGCUUUCUUUAUGUAUCUCAGCAGGAAAAACCUGAAAGAAAAAAAAAGAUAUGAUGGAUUUUAAUAAGAUGGACUAAAGAGAGGAAUACAGAAAAAACUGCUGGGAACCGCAGUACCCUUCUGCACUGUAUGGAUGCUGGGAAUGUUUCCUGCCCUGGCAGGAGACUGCAUAGGCACUCCUAUGGAGUUCAUUACUGACUUAUUUUCUUUUGGAAGAUUCUACAAUCUGUAAUCUGGACACAGUCAAAUUCUACACCUUUGCAGAGGGAACUUCAGUAAGGUCCAUGCAUUAUCUUCUCAUCUUGGGAUCAUCGAAAUGUUGGCUAGAGAGUGAGGAGACUUUGAAUUUUGCUACAUCAACAUGUAUUUCUUCAUAGUGGAACAGGGUCUGCAGACUGAUACUGAAGGCCUUUCAUCUAUGACAGAAACUCGCAAUCCUUAAAUACCUGCAAAAGUACCUAAGGAUUUUGAGCAUCCAGUCUGUUGGAAGUAGUAGAGUUUACAGGUACUGUAGUCUUUAGUUAUGGUUUCUUCGUAC
rnacentral:lncRNA from 1 species